rnacentral:rRNA from 1 species
AAUAGGAAACUAAGGGCGUACGGUGGAUGCCUUGACUAGAAGAUGGUGAUGAAGGACGCGGCUUGGCGGCGAUACGCUUCGGGGAGGUGCCUAGCAACCUUUGAUCCGAAGAUGUCCGAAUGGGGAAACCCGUCCCUCACAUGCUUGCAUGUGAGGGACACUCCAGCAAUUAGUUGGAGAAUACACCCAGUGAAGUAAAACAUUUCAGUAACUGGAGGAAAAGAAAACAAUUGUUAUUUCGUUAGUAGCGGCGAGCGAAAACGAAAAAGCCCAAACUCAGUUUCAUUCUUUGCCGAAUUCUUAAGGCCUUGCCUUGGAGGAUUCUAAAGGCAAGACCUUGAGGGCAAAGAAUGAUGCUGGGGGUUGUAAGGCGGAAAUGUCCCGACUUCGGUCGGGAGAAGAGUCAAAAAUUAUCUGGUUAGAAGAAGCUUCUGGAAAGAAGCACCCAAGAGGGUAAUAGUCCCGUAAUCGAAAAUCAGAUAACUCUUUUGUUUCCGUUCUUGAGUACCUCGAGACACGAAUAGCUCGGGGGAAUCUGCCGGAACUAACCGGUAAGGCUAAAUACACUUCUAGAUCGAUAGUGA